rnacentral:rRNA from 1 species
UGUAUGAAGUUGGAAUCGCUAGUAAUCGCGGAUCAGCAUGCCGCGGUGAAUACGUUCCCGGGCCUUGUACACACCGCCCGUCACACCAUGAGAGUCGGGAACACCCGAAGUCCGUAGCCUAACCGCAAGGAGGGCGCGGCCGAAGGUGGGUUCGAUAAUUGGGGUGAAGUCGUAACAAGGUACC